GAUACACUGAUUAUUUCUCUUUGUUUUGUUCAAAGACUUGCGCUGCUUCCUCACUGGAGACCAAACUUCCUGUGCGCAUCUUUACAGAGUUAAUGCCAUGUUUCAACUCCGUGGGACUCCAGAAAGCUGAUAUUUCAACAGGUUUAACAAACAUGGACAUCAGCACAACCAGCUUAUUGGUCAAACUGGAGGAAGCAGCUGGCUUGGAAGUAGCAAGAGAGGUUUCCAGAUACAAGCCAUGGAUGGCAGGAGUAUAAAUAAGGAAUCCAUUCCAAAAGGGUGAACAAAAAGCGGGAGGAUGCCAUAUACCCUAAGACAGGCCCAAGAAAGCGCAUGCAGCGAGGAACCUCCUGGAUACUACCACAAAUGACAAAUAGCAUGUGAUCUUCAGCUUGCUGCUGCCUGUGCCAAAUAGUAUUGAGUGAAUCAGAGAAGAGACAGAUUGAGGAAUUUACGUGGGCCAACUCACUGAAAUGACAAAGGAAACUCACUGCAGGAGAAAUGUACCAGGGAGACUAUCCUGUGUAAAUAAACCUCCAACUCGCACCAAGUUGAGAGGGAAUUAUCUUCAUAGCUGGUGAGUAGCCUCUUUAUCAGCCAGGCUAGCUCCAGGCCCCAACGCUUCGGUGCGAGGACUCCCAUUCCCCGCACGGCCCGGCCAGAGACUGGACAUCCCUCACUCACAA